rnacentral:rRNA from 1 species
GACGAACGCUGGCGGCGUGCUUAACACAUGCAAGUCGAACGGAAAGGCCCUGCUUUUGUGGGGUGCUCGAGUGGCGAACGGGUGAGUAACACGUGAGUAACCUGCCCUUGACUUUGGGAUAACUUCAGGAAACUGGGGCUAAUACCGGAUAGGAGCUCCUGCUGCAUGGUGGGGGUUGGAAAGUUUCGGCGGUUGGGGAUGGACUCGCGGCUUAUCAGCUUGUUGGUGGGGUAGUGGCUUACCAAGGCUUUGACGGGUAGCCGGCCGGAACGGGUGACCGGCCACAUUGGGACUGAGAUAGGGCCCGGACUCCUACGGGAGGGAGGAGGGGGGAAGGUAUCACGAAGGACGGAAGCAUGAUGGAGCAACGCCGGGUGCGGGAGGACGGACUUCGGGUUGUAAGCCGCUUUCGCUUGUGACGAAGCGUGAGUGACGGAAAUGGGUAAAGAAGCACCGGCAAACUACGG